rnacentral:tmRNA from 1 species
GGGGUAGUAAUGGGUUCGACAGGCUAAGUGAAAGAUUAAUUGCAUGCCGUUGUAGCGAACGUUAAAACGCGAGGUUUAUUAAAUAACCGGAAAUCAAAAUUUACUUUUAGCUGCUUAAUAUAAAAUAGUGGCGUCCAUUUAGAAUCUUCACUUAGGAUUCUAAAUAGGGCUCAGAUACUAAGUGUUGGAGUAAUAGGAAUCCUUGACUAUUAAUCCGAGAUCUAAAGGAUAGUUCUUUAGUGGGUUGCUUGUUGCACAUUGGAGAAUAAAACUAAGACAAUAAGAUAAGCAUGUAGAAGUUAAGAUGGAUUUUAGUUUGGACAGGGGUUCAACUCCCCUCUACUCCACCA